AUGGUGAUGGUGACGGUGACGGCGAUGAUGACAGCUCUGCGGACGGUGCCCGCCCCCAUCCCAGGGUACCCCACCCCUGCCUGGCUGGCCUUCGGCAGGCCCAGGCGGCCGAGACCUCGCUUCGCGCAGAAAGCUGUGACAGCAGCCCAGCCAGGGGGACACACGGUCCUUUGUGGGGACAGGAGGGAAGCUGGCAUGGGCAUCCUGCCCAGCUGCUGGCAUCAGAUGGGCGUCUGGUCUGUGUUUGCUCCCUGUCUUCCCGCAGCCAGGCUGGAGAAGUGCCCCUUCCACCGGCUGCCGGGGAGCCACCAUGUCCUUUCCCUGGUGUGCUCCAGGACCAGGACCACAGUGGUUUCAACAGACCCGGGCCUCCGACCAGAUGUCCGGGUGUGUCCUUCCUGCCUCCCUGCUCCGUCCAGCUGCUCUAGGUUCUUACUGAGCGCGUCGGUCCCAGCUGCACACCUCCCCCCUGUUCGGAGCCCAUCCUUCCGGCCCAGUCUCCCCAGGUGUGUCCAACACAAACCCGAGCCCAGCCCCGGCCCGGAGUUUUCGCGGGGGUCCCACUGCCCUCGGGCAGGAGCCUGGACUCCAGCCUGCCUCCCGCUGCUGCCUGCAGCCCCUCCUCACACCGCUGGGCCUUGGCACGGCUGCUCCCUCGCCUGGAACGCCCUUCCUGCCGCCCCCGAGAACUUCCCCCGGGCGUCCUGGACCUCCUGGGAAGCCACUGCCUCUCGCUGUGCCCGCCAAGCGCCUGUCGCCGUGCUGGGCACAUGCUAGGUGCUCAGUAAACACGGGCGGAGUUCCAGACGGCUGCGGCUGGCUCAGGCCCCUGGUGAAGGAAGCCCCAGAACAUUUCACCACCUGUUACCUUUGCAUAGACUUUGCGCCAGGGCAGAAGCCCCCGGAUACCUCUUUCUGGUGAGGUCACCACAUGGGAGCAGACCCCUCAGGCUAAACGAGUAAGUAGGAAGCCUCGAGGACAGAGGGUGACAAGACAGCGGGCUCCAACGGUUGUGGUUUGACCAGCCCUGGGCCAGCGCGCAGACCUGUCCGGCCCGCGCUGGACUGGCUGGGGGUGGCCACGCGUGAUGGCUGAGUGGUGCCCCCCCCAGACGUGACGUAUUUGGACAUGGGGUCUUUAAAGAGGUGACUAGGGUAAAAUGAGGUCGCUAGGGCCGUGUCCUUAUAAAAAGGGAGAUUAGGACACAGACACAGGGGCACAACCACGUGAGGACGUGGGGAGAGGACAGCUCCCUGCCAAGGAGAGAGGCCUCACGCCUUGACCUCGGGCCUCUGGCCUCUGGAAAGCGUGAGAACAGAUGUCAGCGUGUGGUUCUUUGUUACGGUGGCCCCGGGAAGCCAGUUCGCCGCGCCUCCUAGGUUGGGCAGCGGGUGUCAGCGGUGGGGAUGGGGUUUCUGGGAAGGUUUCGGAAAGUGAUAGAUUCUGGGAAGCCCCUCUGCCCUCCGCCACCCGCCCGCCUGGAAAGGUGGCACCUGCUUUGAGACCAUGGGGGCCUCCAGGGACAGCGAUGGGCAAAGCAGUGACAGCAGCAGGGCCCCUGAGUGGCCAUCUGAGUCCCAGGCUGCUUGCUGGUGGGACAGACCCCCUGUUUAGGCCCCUGCAGGGCGGUGUCCUGUCCCUUGCAGCGCUCCUGGCUGACCAGCACAGGCCUGGCCUCUCCGUCCCCCCUGUAAGGGGCCGGCUUCUUCCCCGUGCCCACGCUUGACCCCCGGCCCAUCUGGGGCGCCUGCACCGCAGGCCCCAGGCCACAGAGGCACCAAAUCCAGAGGACCCUCCUACCUCUCGCCAGUCGUCAGCAAUCGCUUCUGCCAAGCCGACCUUCUUUGUGACAACUGUUUGCGGAGGACGGUAUUGACGAUGUGUCCGGGCUGUGACACUCAUCCUGCCUGGUCCCCGCCCAGCCCCUUGGCCCCGGGGCACGAGGCCUCGAAUGCUUGUCAUCGGAACCCCAGUGUCCUGGGUUGGCAGAAGGACCCAGGGCCCAGUUCCUUGCUGUGCGGUCUGACACGAAUUCCUGGCCCUUUCUGGGCCUCGGUUUCCCCACAUGCAGACGGUGGGAGGUCCAGGGUGCAAGUGAGUGGAGGCAGAAGGGCAGGCGGCUGUUUGUCCCUGUGUUUGGAGGGCUCUGGGAGUCCCCCUACCCCAACCUGAGCUCCAUCCAGGUGGCCUCACGACCUUUGCUUGCAGCUGGGGAAAGUCAAUCCUAAUUAGGCUGUUCAAUCUCAAGGUCGUUUCAAGCUGCGUCUCCCCACCUGUGCGCCAGGCCGGCCAGGGUCCAGCUGCCGGGAAGGGAGAGGUGGGGGCUCGAGCCGGCCCUGACACCUGCCUCGCCAAGCCCCGCUGCAGGGGUGCAGUGGGCUUGCGGAGCACGCGGAGGGCUUCUCUCUUUGCUACUGACCCCGUUCUGCAGCAAACUCUACUGCUACCCUCAAAGCCCUCUGGGCAGCAAGCACUCGGAACACAGCAUGUCUAGGGUGAGUGUGGGGGUCCUUGGGGGGGGGUGGGGAGCCCUACAGGGCCUGGCUGCUGCACCACCCUGACUUGGGAGAUCAGGCCAUGGCUGACCCCCUGACCCUGCCGGCUCCCCGCCGUGCCCCUGCCAGGGCCUGCCUCGCACGCUGCUGGAGUCCUCCGUCUCGGUCCUCGGCCCCCCACUUCUGUUGUGACCUCUCGGCCCACAGGAAGCUAACCACGACGGGAGAGCACGCUGCUCCUGGCCACCCCACCCGACCCCCCAAACUCUCCUGGAAGGGCCCAGGAGGGCAGGGACCCACCCGAGCAGGCAGCGGCCAGGGCCCAGAAGGCCCUGUCCCGUUCGUUCGGCAGAUGUCCUGAGGAGAUGGGAGCCCAGAGGGUGACGGGGAAGCCACAGCCUUCUUCCCCGGACCGCGGUGCACAGCUCUCUCUCUGCGUGACGGACGUCCGGCCGGUUGCCCGGGCAGAUUCACACUGCUCCUACUGACCAGGCCGCGUGAGCAGAACCCGGCCUGCUUUGUCCCCUCCCCGCACCCCCACCCGGGUCACUGUACCACCCAAGCGUGGCCGCUCGGCGCGGACGCGAGGCCUUCUGUGUCUGGCUGUGCUCACUCUGCUGUGCAUCUGGGAGAAGCGCCCAAGUGACGUGUGUGGCUGGAGACCGCCAUGUCACGCCCCGUGGUCUCCGCCGUGCGGCCGCGCCUCGGUUUACCCGUGCGUCCGGGCCGUGUC
ensembl:lncRNA